rnacentral:rRNA from 1 species
CGGCGGACGGGUGAGUAACACGUGGAUAACCUACCUAUAAGACUGGGAUAACUUCGGGAAACCGGAGCUAAUACCGGAUAAUAUAUGAACCGCAUGGUUCAAUAGUGAAAGACGGUUUUGCUGUCACUUAUAGAUGGAUCCGCGCCGCAUUAGCUAGUUGGUAAGGUAACGGCUUACCAAGGCAACGAUGCGUAGCCGACCUGAGAGGGUGAUCGGCCACACUGGAACUGAGACACGGUCCAG